UAUUGGUCAAUAGCCUAACGGCUGNACCAGCAAUUUGGGGGAAUGAAAAGCUUCGGCUGACUAUGUUAGUUUGCAUUAAUGCAAAAAAAAUUAAUGAUAAGAAUGUUAAAAAAAAAGUUUUUAAUAUUGCUAACGGUUUAGUGACUUUGUCACCUAAAGUUCUAGAUAGAAUACUGAUAAUGACAAUUUACUAUCUAUGUGUCUUGACCAAAUUACGUGCCAGCAGUCGCGGUAAUACGUAGAAGACUAGUGUUAUUCAUCUUUAUUAGGUUUAAAGGGUACCUAGACGGUUUAAUUAGUCCAAAGUAGGAUACGGUUAGACUAGAGUUAUAUUUAAGAAGGUGAGUAUUUGUGGAGUAGAGUUGAAAUUCUGUGAUACCACGAGGACUGGUAAGGGCGAAAGCAACCUUCUAUCUAAUAACUGACGUUGAGGGACGAAGGCUCGGGUCGCAAAGAGGAUUAGAUACCCUAGUAGUCCAAGCAGACAAUGAUGAAUGCCAUAGAUUAGAUAAUAUUUAGUUUAUAAAUGAAAGUGCAAGCAUUCCACCUCAAGAGUAAUGUGGCAACACAGGAACUGAAAUCAUUAGACCGUUUUUGAAACCAGUAGUGAAGUAUGUUAUUUAAUUCGAUAAUCCUCGAAAAACCUUACCACAAUUUGAAUAUUAUCAGGUAAAUUUUAUCUAGAUAUUACAAGUGUUGCAUGGCCGUCUUCAGUUAAUGUCGUGAGAUAUUGGUUAAUUCCAUUAAAUUAGCGGAAACCCUUGCUUUAUUUAUGUAUAUUUGAAAAUAAAGCAGUUCGCCAUUACAUUGGUUAUGAUAAUAGGGAUUAAGACAGGUCAUUCAUGGCCU
rnacentral:rRNA from 1 species